UUCGCUCUGCUAAGAUAACGCAGUUAAACAAACAUUGACCUUAAGCAUAUUUAUUGGACUCAGGAAAAAAGUUCAGAUUGGUUGAAAAACGCUCCUAAAGCAAGCUGAGACACAUCCAUAUCUGUGUCAAUUUAUCGACAUUUCCUACGUAAAAUUACCUACAUAUAAGUUACGUUGUUUGCAGAGUAUUUGGCCGCGAAUAUGUGGAUAAGAUGUCUCGAUAGCGUCGCUUCAUGAGAGUCCAUCAUGCAUAUGCAGCUAUGGACUGGAAAAGUCCUGCGGCUUUCUACGGACGUGUCCGGGCGUGUCUCUCGUCGCUGUAAUGCCCAGACGGUGACCUCCCAUCCGCAACAAUCGUCGCGGCCUUCCACUCAAACCCCCGUACCCUCAUACACCCGCGACAGACAGCACUUGCAACCUGACUGAGUGACUGAUUGAGCCUAAUUGAGCUGUAGCGACAAGUGGCGGACGCCAUUCGUAUACGGGACGGGGGAAGUAAUACCGGUCUCAGGGAUGCCCCCCGCUUCGCCUACAACCGCCGGUUUUGAUCGAGCUGAUGGCCGUACUAAUUGCUGAAAGUGGCGCUUCAUUUGCUAUAUGGAACGGGAAGCACAGUGUUGUUGUUGUUGUUGUUGUUGUUACCGUUAUACAUCACACCGCUAUCGCGCAGCGACAGCAGCUAGAGGUGUUCAGGAGGGCGUAAUGCUAGGGGACUGAAUUGUUGAACUCUGCCAAGCUUUGUUUACUGUUAAUGAU
rnacentral:lncRNA from 1 species